rnacentral:rRNA from 1 species
UGGGGAAUCUUGGACAAUGGGCGCAAGCCUGAUCCAGCCAUGCCGCGUGAGUGAUGAAGGCCUUAGGGUCGUAAAGCUCUUUCGCCAGGGAUGAUAAUGACAGUACCUGGUAAAGAAACCCCGGCUAACUCCGUGCCAGCAGCCGCGGUAAUACGGAGGGGGUUAGCGUUGUUCGGAAUUACUGGGCGUAAAGCGCACGUAGGCGGAUUGGAAAGUUGGGGUGAAAUCCCGGGGCUCAACCCCGGAACUGCCUCCAAAACUCCCAGUCUUGAGUUCGAGAGAGGUGAGUGGAAUUCCGAGUGUAGAGGUGAAAUUCGUAGAUAUUCGGAGGAACACCAGUGGCGAAGGCG